rnacentral:rRNA from 1 species
UACGAAGGGUGCAAGCGUUAAUCGGAAUUACUGGGCGUAAAGCGUGCGCAGGCGGUCUUUUAAGUCAGAUGUGAAAUCCCCGGGCUUAACCUGGGAACUGCGUUUGAAACUGGAAGGCUAGAGUGUGGCAGAGGGGGGUGGAAUUCCACGUGUAGCAGUGAAAUGCGUAGAUAUGUGGAGGAACACCGAUGGCGAAGGCAGCCCCCUGGGCUAACACCGACGCUCAUGCACGAAAGCGUGGGGAGCAAACAGG